rnacentral:rRNA from 1 species
UCGGAGACGGUGCUCGCGCGGGCGGUGAUGCGACACGCGUAUCAGAAAGACUCUCGGCAACGGAUAUCUUGGCUCUUGCAUCGAUGAAGAACGUAGCGAAAUGCGAUACUUGGUGUGAAUUGCAGAAUCCCGUGAACCAUCGAGUUUUUGAACGCAAGUUGCGCCCGAAGCCAUUAGGCCGAGGGCACGCCUGCCUGGGUGUCGCCCAUCGUUGCCCCAGUGCCUUGGCCUCGUGCUAGGCAUCGAGCUGGGCGAAUGUUGGCUUCCCGUGAGCAACGCCUCACGGUUGGUUGAAAACUGAGUCUGUGGUGGAGGGCAUCGUGACGGAUGGUGGUU